rnacentral:rRNA from 1 species
CCUACGGGGGGCAGCAGUGAGGAAUAUUGGUCAAUGGGCGCUAGCCUGAACCAGCCAAGUAGCGUGAAGGAUGACUGCCCUAUGGGUUGUAAACUUCUUUUAUAGGGGAAUAAAGUGCAGUAUGUAUACGGCUUUGCAUGUACCUUAUGAAUAAGGAUCGGCUAACUCCGUGCCAGCAGCCGCGGUAAUACGGAGGAUCCGAGCGUUAUCCGGAUUUAGUGGGGUUAAAGGGAGCGGAGGCGGGUUGUUAAGUCAGUGGUGAAAGUUGGCGGCUCAACCGUAAAAUUGCAGUUGAUACUGGCAUCCUUGAGUACAGUAGAGGUAGGCGGAAUUCGUGGUGUAGCGGU